rnacentral:rRNA from 1 species
UUCUUGUAAGAUUAAUUACAGGUAUGCUCUGCCCAAUGUUUAUAAAUGGCCGCGGUAUUUGGACCGUGCUAAGGUAGCAUAAUAAGUUUCUUUUUAAUUGUAAGAUGGUAUGAAGGAGUGAACGGGGAAGAAUUGUACCUUUUCUAAUAAAAUAAUUUUAUAUGUGAGUAAGAAAGCUCUUGUGAUUUAAAAAGACGACAAGACCCUAUAAAACUUUACUAAUAGGAAUUGAUUUAAUUUAAUGAUGUUAAGUUAUGGUUAGUUAAGCUGGGGCGGUUUAUUUUGAUUAACAAAAUAUUUUGGUACGUAGUUAAUGGAGUUAGAGAUUGUUGAUGUAUAAUUAAGAUUAAGUUACUUUAGGGAUAACAGCAUAAUAUUUUUGGAGAGUUCUUAUCGAUGGAGAUGUUUGUGACCUCGAUGUUGAAUUGAAUUGUCUUCUGUGAGUAGUAAUUCAGAGUAGAAGGUCUGUUCGACCUUUAAUGAUUCACAUGAUCUGA